GGAUUGAACGCUGGCGGCAUGCCUUACACAUGCAAGUCGAACGGCAGCACGGGAGCAAUCCUGGUGGCGAGUGGCGAACGGGUGAGUAAUACAUCGGAACGUGCCCAAUCGUGGGGGAUAACGCAGCGAAAGCUGUGCUAAUACCGCAUAAGAUCUACGGAUGAAAGCAGGGGAUCGCAAGACCUUGCGCGAAUGGAGCGGCCGAUGGCAGAUUAGGUAGUUGGUGAGGUAAAGGCUCACCAAGCCUCCGAUCUGUAGCUGGUCUGAGAGGACGACCAGCCACACUGGGACUGAGACACGGCCCAGACUCCUACGGGAGGCAGCAGUGGGGAAUUUUGGACAAUGGGCGAAGCCUGAUCCAGCCAUGCCGCGUGCAGGAUGAAGGCUUCGGUUGUAACUGCUUUGUACGGAACGAAAGUACUCUUUACUAAUAAGAGGAUCAUGACGUACGUAAGAAUAAGCGACCGACUAACUACGUACG
rnacentral:rRNA from 1 species